GACGAACGCUGGCGGCGUGCUUAACACAUGCAAGUCGAACGGAAAGUUCCUGCUUUUUUGGGCUGCUCGAGUUGCGACCGGGUGAGUAACACUUGAGUUCCCUGUCCUUGACUUUGGGAUAACUUAAUGAAAGUGGGUGUCAUCCCGGCUAGGAGUUCUUGCUGCAUGGUGGGCGCUGGUAAGUUUCGGCGGUUGGGGGUGGACUCGCGGCCUAUCAGCUUGUUCGUGUGGUAGUGGAAUAGCAAGGCUAUGACGGGUAGCCGACCUGAGAGGGUCAGCGGCCACAUUAGGACUGGGCUGCGACACAGACUCGUCCGGGAGGCAGGAGUGCGGAAGAUUGCACAAUGGGCGGAAGGCUGAUGCAGCAACGCCGCGUGCGGGAUGAGAGGAUUCGGGUUGUAAACCGAUUCCCCCUGUGACGAAGCGUGAAUGACGGUAAUGGGUAAAGAAGCACCGGCUAACUACGUG
rnacentral:rRNA from 1 species